GGGGUUGUGGCUCAGCAGUAGAGCGCUCUCCUUGCACGUGAGAGAACCUAAGUUCGAUCUUUGGCACCA
rnacentral:tRNA from 1 species